rnacentral:rRNA from 1 species
CUCCAACGAGCGCAACCCUGAUCCAGCAAUGCCGCGUGAGUGAAGAAGGCCUUCGGGUUGUAAAGCUCUUUUGUCCGGGAAGAAACGGUUCUCUCGAAUACAGAGGACUACUGACGGUACCGGAAGAAUAAGCACCGGCUAACUACGUGCCAGCAGCCGCGGUAAUACGUAGGGUGCAAGCGUUAAUCGGAAUUACUGGGCGUAAAGCGUGCGCAGGCGGUUGUGCAAGACAGAUGUGAAAUCCCCGGGCUUAACCUGGGAACUGCAUUUGUGACUGCACGGCUAGAGUGUGUCAGAGGGGGGUAGAAUUCCACGUGUAGCAGUGAAAUGCGUAGAUAUGUGGAGGAAUACCGAUGGCGAAGGCAGCCCCCUGGGAUAACACUGA